UUCUCCCUUUUUCUUUCUCCCCUCUCUUAAUUUAUCUGUUGUUGCUACUGUCGUUUCCUCUUUAAUUUCCGCUUUAUAUUUUUUCCCUUUCUUUUUUGGUGGAAACCCAUUACGUAAAGCAUAAGGAUUUAAUUUACGAAUCAAGGAAACUAUUGUUUGCAGAGAUCUAAAAUCUUAGGUUUGAUUUCGAUGAAAGAAGGCAAAGCGAAUUUCAGUGAUUUACUGUUAUUGUUGCAAAAAUGAUUAGGUUUUUGAUGUCUUGAAGAAUUUAUGUUUCAAAUGAAAUCUGAAAUUAGGGUUCCGAUUCUUCUUUGGGUUUCAAUUUGAAUAGGGUCAUGACUAAUCGAUUCAACAAAGGUUUCAGUUGAGAUUCAGUAGGGUGCUUCAGUUAAGAUUCAUCAUCGUAUCGAUUUAAUUUGGGUUGAUGACAAAAUUGAUUCGAAAUGGGUUUCAAUUUGAGAUUCAAUAACGGUUUUAGUUCAUAUUUUAAUUCAAGUUCAUGACCGUUUGAUAUCAAAUUCUUAGAUUUUGCUAUUUUCAGGGAUGGUUCUGAUAAUGAAUUAAGGGUUUGAUUAUGGUGGUGUUGUUGGUUUGCACAGUGAGAAGAGUUAGAUGUUAGGUAUUGUUUGAUUUGAUAAUGGUGAUAGAGAAGGAGGUAAAGAUACUGUUGCGUCGGAGGUUGCUGUUUUUGGUUGUGAUGUUCAAGAAAUUGUAGCCGAGAAGGGAAAGGGGUGAAUCAGAGGAGACAUGAAUUUCGGCGAGAAGAAGAAGUGAGAAUUUUGUAAAUAUUAAGAAAUCUUAAGGGUAUGAUAGUAAACACAUUAAUAAUAACAUUUUAUAUAAAAUUUCUUAUAAUUAUUUA